AGGGCUUCUGCGCUCGUGAGAAACUGGUCUUGUUGUCGUAGCUCUCCUUGAAGCCACAGAAGAGCUUUUUGGGGAACGUCUCCUUCUGCCAGGUCUUCACCCGCUCUCCUUCCUCUGCGACGAGAGACUGCGAGAUGGAGGAGUGGAGGGCGGCCAGGCGCUCGGUGGAGGCGAAGAAACACUGCCAGGCCCUCAUCAGGGAGCCGUACACCGGGCCUGGGGGGCAAACACAGCAAAGAGUGAGGAGCGCCCCCUGGAGGUCAGUCACGGUCAGAGGAGAGUCCGGUUAUGGAUCUGAUUUCUUCUGGGAAGAUCUCACACGAAAGUCUGAAGGAAAGGAUAAAAACAGAACAACGAAAGAGGAAAAACUGAAUUUUCUUUAGUUCCUAACAGCGAAACCAACUGAAGCCACUUCAUAUCUACGUCUCAGAGUGGCUCUGAUGCGUCCGGCUCAUCAAUGACCUCAUCAAUGACCUCAUCAUGUUUCCAUCAACAAUCAUUCAUCAGUUUUCCUCCAAGUUGAAACAACAUCACCUCUCAGUUCUAGAGAAAAUCACUCACAAGCCGAGUCGGGAAAAGCAGUGACAGCUGAGCAGUCCUGCCUGGAAGCAGCCGUCACUUCCACGUCUCCCUGAAUCACCUCUGAUUACUCCACUGACCACUCGGUUCUGUAGUUCAAGAGCUGCUCCAUGUCUGCCUCCCCCUCCUCACCACCGCUCCGCUCUGCUCCGCUCGCCCUGACCCACUUUUCCCUCGCCGCUUAAAGUCACACGCACCCGGAGCCGACCCGGACCCGGAGCCGACCCGGACCCGGAGCCGACCCGGAGCCGGGCAACAGGCGGUGAAACGGAAGAAUCACUUCCACACAACGCCGCUUGUAGAGAGAGAGAGCUUUUUUUUUCUCAGAAAUAAAAAAUAAAAAAAUUAU